GAUGAAGAACGUAGCGAAAUGCGAUACGUAAUGUGAAUUGCAGAAUUCAGUGAAUCAUCGAAUCUUUGAACGCAUAUUGCGCUCUCUGGUAUUCCGGAGAGCAUGCUUGUUUGAGUAUCAGUAAACACCUCAACUUCCAUAUCUUUUUUGAAAUGGGAGUUGGACUUGAGUGAUCCCAACGCUUUUCCUCACCGAAAAGUGGCGGGUUACUUGAAAUGCAGGUGCAGCUGGACUUUUCUCUGAGCUAUAAGCAUAUCUAUUUAGUCUGCCUAAAAAACAGAUUAUUACCUUUGCUGCAGCUAACAUAAAGGAGAUUAGUUCUUGUGCUGACUGAUGCAGGAUUCACAAAGACAGGCUUCGGCCGACUUUGUAAACUCGAUCUCGAAUCAAGUAAGACUACCCGCUGAACUUAAGCAUAUCAAUAAGCGGAGGA
rnacentral:misc_RNA from 1 species